UCCCAGCCUCCCUGACCUCCUGGCCCCUGAUCUGGGUCAUCAAGGGCACAAAAGGAUGCAUAAUAGGGUUGGUGCUGAGUGGCUGAACCCUAUCCCCGCUUUUGCUCCCCACAGACCCCGCCAGCAGGCUAAGAUGGCUGAGUACUGCCGGACGAUCUUUGGGGAUAUGCUGCUCACAGAGCCCCUGGAAAAGUUCCCACUAAAACCAGGUGUCCCCCUGCCCAGCCCUGAGGACCUCAGGGGCAAGAUCCUCAUCAAGAACAAGAAGAACCAGUUUUCUGGCCCCACCUCCUCCAGUAAGGAUACUGGUGGGGAGGCUGAGGGCAGCAGCCCACCCAGUGCCCCUGCAGGUGAGGGCACAGUGUGGGCUGGCGAGGAAGGGACUGAGCUGGAGGAGGAGGAGGUGGAAGAGGAAGAGGAGGAGGAGUCAGG
rnacentral:sRNA from 1 species